rnacentral:rRNA from 1 species
AUUGAACGCUGGCGGCAUGCCUUACACAUGCAAGUCGAACGGCAGCAUGAUCUUGCUUGCUAGAUUGAUGGCGAGUGGCGAACGGGUGAGUAAUACAUCGGACUGUGCCCUGUAGUUGGGGAUCACUAGUCGAAAGUAUAGCUAAUACCGCCCUCGACCUGAGGGUGAAAGUUGGGGGCCGCAAGCCCUCUUGCUUUAGCAGCGGUCGAUGUCGCUUUAUCUAGUUGGUGAGGUAAAGGCACACCAAGGCGACGAUCCGUAAUUGGUCUGAGAGGAUGAUCAGUCACACUGGGACUGAGACACGGCCCAGACUCCUACGGGAGGCAGCAGUGGGGAAUUUUGGACAAUGGGCGAAAGCCUGAUCCAGCAAUGCCGCGUGUGUGAAGAAGGUCUUCGGGUUGUAAAGCACUUUUAGUCGGGAAGAAAGGGAGUAAGUUAAUACCUGGGGUCGAUGACGGUACCGGAAGAAUAAGCACCGGCUAACUACGUG